rnacentral:rRNA from 1 species
UACAGAGGGUGCAAGCGUUAAUCGGAAUUACUGGGCGUAAAGCGCGCGUAGGUGGUUCGUUAAGUUGGAUGUGAAAUCCCCGGGCUCAACCUGGGAACUGCAUUCAAAACUGUCGAGCUAGAGUAUGGUAGAGGGUGGUGGAAUUUCCUGUGUAGCGGUGAAACGCGUAGAUAUAGGAAGGAACACCAGUGGCGAAGGCGACCACCUGGACUGAUACUGACACUGAGGUGCGAAAGCGUGGGGAGCAAACAGG